rnacentral:rRNA from 1 species
UAUUGGUCAAUGGGCUUACGCCUGAACCAGCCAAGUCGCGUGAGGGAAGACUGCCCUAUGGGUUGUAAACCUCUUUUGUCAGGGAACAAAGACUGGGACGCGUCCCCGGAUGAGUGUACCUGAAGAAAAAGCAUCGGCUAACUCCGUGCCAGCAGCCGCGGUAAUACGGAGGAUGCGAGCGUUAUCCGGAUUUAUUGGGUUUAAAGGGUGCGCGGGCGUUCGGUUAAGCCAGCGGUCAAAGCCGGGGGCUCACCCCCGGCCCGCCGUUGAAACUGGCAGUCUCGAGUUGGAGAGAAGUAUGCGGAAUGCGCGGUGUAGCGGUGAAAUGCAUAGAUAUCGCGCAGAACUCCGAUUGCGAGGGCAGCAUGCCGGCUCCACAUUGACGCUGAGGCACGAAAGCGUGGGUAUCG